CCUACGGGUGGCUGCAGUGAGGAAUAUUGGUCAAUGGACGAAAGUCUGAACCAGCCAAGUAGCGUGAAGGAUGACUGCCCUCUGGGUUGUAAACUUCUUUUAUAUGGGAAUAAAAUGUUGCACGUGUGGGAUUUUGUAUGUACUUUAUGAAUAAGGAUCGCCUAACUCCGUGCCAGCAGCCGCGGUAUUACGGAGGAUCCGCGCGUUAUCCGGAUUUAUUGGGUUUAAAGGGAGCGUAGAUGGGUUGUUAAGUCAGUUGUGAAAGUUUGCGGCUCAACCGUAAAAUUGCAAUUGAUACUGGCAGGCUUGAGUGCAGAUGAGGUAGGCGGAAUUCGUGGUGUAGCGGUGAAAUGCUUAGAUAUCACGAAGAACUCCGAUUGCGAAGGCAGCUUACUAGACUGCCACUGACGUUGAUGCUCGAAAGUGUGGGUAUCAAACAGGAUUAGAUACCCCUGUAGUA
rnacentral:rRNA from 1 species